rfam:Trichinella spiralis unplaced genomic scaffold Scfld6183, whole genome shotgun sequence.
CUGUGGUGGAUUCUGCUUGAAUGGAAUAGGGAAUUGCAAUUGUUUCCCUUGAACGAGGAAUUCCCAGUAAGCGUGAGUCAUUAGCUCGCGUUGAUUACGUCCCUGCCCUUUGUACACACCGCCCGUCGCUACUACCGAUUGGAUGAUUUAGUGAGGUGUUUUGACUGGCGCCAGUAGUCGGAUAUGUAUUCGGCUUCGCGCCGGGAAAUUUCCCAAACCAAAUCAUCUAGAGGAAGUAAAAGUCGUAACAAGGUUUCCGUAGGUGAACCUGCGGAAGGAUCAUUA